GUUUAUACUGAAUUUCAGGGAGACUUAGGCCAGCCUAUCACCAUAAACGGUAUCUGUAUUUUGUCUCCUAACAAGAACAUGAAUGGUGAUUUGUCUGUUGUGUAAAUCGCCAAAUCCAGAAAUCCUUCAAGUCCUUGUGAAUUAAAAUUAAAAGCAUGAUUCUUCUCAAAGUUUGAAUGUGUAAAUGGGAUGAUGUCAAGACAACAAAAGUGAGUCUUGGUUUUAUUGAUGCAGCUGGAAUCAGAAUCCGGUCCUGAGCCUGGAACAUAGAAGAGUUUUCUUCAGCUGCCCUGAUGGAUCAUUUGAAUAGACCUUCACUGAAUACUGAAUCAAAAAAAUAUUUCCCGCUGUCUUCAGUUUUGAACUCUCUAUAUUAAAUGAUUUCCAGCUGUUGAUCUGUGGAUUCCUGAAGGGUCAAGUUAAUCACCAGCUUUGAGCUGAUGUUUCCCCACCAAGCUGGGCUGGCAGACUUCAGGCUUUUCAACUCCUCUGUAGCAGCCUUAAAAGCAUGCAGAAAAAACUGCCACGAUGGAAUAGAGCGACUGUGCCGCCUAGUGGGCAAAGGCAGCUGCCGGGGGCUGUGUGGGCUGGGCUGCGGGGGGAAAUCCUCGGUAGCAGCUCCUGCAGAUGUCGUCUUUUUUCUGUCCCUGAGCACAGAGUGAAGUGACCUGUGAUCACUUGCACCUAGUGAUCUCUGUUUCUUCACUCUCAUUAUUUGAAAGCUCCCAAUGCUGAUUUAGAUAGUUGAUGUACUCAUCAUAUAUGACCUUUUCAUGGACAAGAGACAGAGUUAAUGUAAGACUCUCAAGUCUGGGUAGUUCUUGCAUAUAGUGUUCACCAGCACAGAUUGACUGAGAGAGUCCAAGCAACGUUCACAAGUGACCUAUAUCUGUUGUGGCUGAUGGGAACCAACAAACAAUUUGCAGUAUGAAAUUUGCUUCCAGAUUCUGUUCAAUAUAUCAUCAGUGCAAUCAUUAUCAUAGAAGAUCAGAGAGCAAAGCAAUACAUGCAAUUGCUUUAUCUGAAUGCCUUGUCUUUCCCUCCCUUGCUCAUUGAACGAGUCUACCUAAUGUCAGACUCAAUAAAGUCAGGCAGCUGGCUAUAAGAAGCA
rnacentral:lncRNA from 1 species